rnacentral:sRNA from 1 species
UUUGAUUUCAGAUGUUGGCUGAGUGUGGAUAAUGGAUCAGUAUGGGCUUUUGUCGGACCUGUUUGUUUCAUUUGUUCGGAAUCUAUUAACAACCAUCAUAACACAGCUUCCAGUCACCAAUGUCACCUGGCUAUUCGGUGUGGUUCCAGCAAAAUUCGUUGCUUUUCAAUAUUUGUUUGUCAUGCUAAAUGCUUCACAAGGCAUGAUUAU